UGAGUUUGAUCCUGGCUCAGGAUGAACGCUAGCGACAGGCUUAACACAUGCAAGUCGAGGGGCAGCGCGGGUAGCAAUACCUGGCGGCGACCGGCGCACGGGUGCGUAACACGUGUGUAACCUACCUACAACAGGAGGAUAACCCGGAGAAAUUCGGACUAAUACCCCAUAAUACAGGGCUACCGCAUGGUAAUAUUUGUUAAAGAUUUAUCGGUUGUAGAUGGGCACGCGCAACAUUAGAUAGUUGGAGAGGUAACGGCUCACCAAGUCAGCGAUGUUUAGGGGAACUGAGAGGUUGGUCCCCCACACUGGUACUGAGACAGGGACCAGACUCCUACGGGAGGCAGCAGUGAGGAAUAUUGGUCAAUGAGCGAGAGCUUGAACCAGCCAAGUCGCGUGAAGGAAGAAGGUGCUAUGCAUUGUAAACUUCUUUUAAAUGGGAAUAAAAAGGGGGACGUGUCCUCUGUUGUAUGUACCAUUUGAAUAAGCAUCGGCUAACUCCGUGCCAGCAGCCGCGGUAAUACGGAGGAUGCGAGCGUUAUCCGGAUUUAUUGGGUUUAAAGGGUGCGUAGGCGGACCCGCAAGUCAGAGGUGAAAUCUUGUCGCUUAACGAUAACAAUGCCUUUGAAACUGCUGGUCUUGAGUGUAAAUGAGGUAGGCNGGAAUGUGGUGUGUAGCGGUGAAAUGCUUAGAUAUGCCACAGAACACCGAUUGCGAAGGCAGCUUACUGGGAUACAACUGACGCUGAGGCACGAAAGCGUGGGGAUCAAACAGGAUUAGAUACCCUGGUAGUCCACGCAGUAAACGAUGAUUACUAACUGUUUGCGAUAUACUGCAAGUGGUCAAGCGAAAGCGAUAAGUAAUCCACCUGGGGAGUACGUGCGCAAGCAUGAAACUCAAAGGAAUUGACGGGGGCCCGCACAAGCGGAGGAACAUGUGGUUUAAUUCGAUGAUACGCGAGGAACCUUACCCGGGCUUGAAAGUUAGUGAAUGGAGUGGAAACAUUUCAGUGAGCAAUCACACGAAACUAGGUGCUGCAUGGUUGUCGUCAGCUCGUGCCGUGAGGUGUCGGCUUAAGUGCCAUAACGAGCGCAACCCUUGCCAUUAGUUACCAGCAGUUAGAUGGGGACUCUAAUGGGACUGCCACCGUAAGGUGCGAGGAAGGUGGGGAUGACGUCAAAUCAGCACGGCCCUUACGUCCGGGGCGACACACGUGUUACAAUGGGGAGUACAGAGGGUUGCUACACCGCGAGGUGAUGCUAAUCUCAUAAAACUUUUCUCAGUUCGGAUCGGAGUCUGCAACUCGACUCCGUGAAGCUGGAUUCGCUAGUAAUCGCGCAUCAGCCAUGGCGCGGUGAAUACGUUCCCGGGCCUUGUACACACCGCCCGUCAAGCCAUGGGAGUUGGGGGGACCUGAAGUACGUGACCGCAAGGAGCGUCCUAGGGUAAAACCGAUGACUGGGGCUAAGUCGUAACAAGGUAACCGUA
rnacentral:rRNA from 1 species